UUCCGGUUGAUCCCGCCGGAGGUCACUGCUAUCGGGGUUCGAUUAAGCCAUGCGAGUCGAGAGGGUUCGGCCCUCGGCGUACUGCUCAGUAACACGUGGAUAACCUGCCCUAGGGGAGGGGAUAACCCCGGGAAACUGGGGAUAAUACCCUAUAGGUUACAGAUGCUGGAAUGCCCUGUAACCAAAAGCUCCGGCGCCCUAGGAUGGAUCUGCGGCCGAUUAGGUUGUUGUUGGGGUAACGGCCCAACAAGCCCGUAAUCGGUACGGGUUGUGGGAGCAAGAGCCCGGAGUUGGAUUCUGAGACACGAAUCCAGGCCCUACGGGGCGCAGCAGGCGCGAAACCUUUACAAUGCGGGCAACCGUGAUAAGGGAACCUCGAGUGCCUGUAAACGCAGGCUGUUCAGGUGUUUAAAACGCACCUGGAGAAAGGGCCGGGCAAGACCGGUGCCAGCCGCCGCGGUAAUACCGGCGGCUCGAGUGGUGGCCGCUUUUAUUGGGAUUAAAGCGUUCGUAGCUGGGUUGUUAAGUCUCUUGGGAAAUCUGGCGGCUUAACCGUCAGGCGUCUAAGGGAUACUGGCAAUCUUGGAACCGGGAGAGGUGAGGGGUACUUCGGGGGUAGGGGUGAAAUCCUGUAAUCCUCGAGGGACCACCUGUGGCGAAGGCGCCUCACCAGAACGGCUUCGACAGUGAGGGACGAAAGCUGGGGGAGCAAACCGGAUUAGAUACCCGGGUAGUCCCAGCCGUAAACGAUGCGCGUUAGGUGUAUCGGUGACCACGAGUUACCGAGGUGCCGAAAGGGAAACCGUGAAACGCGCCGCCUGGGAAGUACGGUCGCAAGGCUGAAACUUAAAGGAACUGGGCGGUGGAGCACCACAACGGGUGGAGCCUGCGGUUUAAUUGGAUUCAACGCCGGAAAUCACUAGUGCGGCCGCCUGCAAGUCGACCAUAUG
rnacentral:rRNA from 1 species